GGGUCAGUAGGUUGGUCGUGCCACCGGUACGUACUGCUCUCACUGAUUCCUCCUUCCUGAAGAACCGUAAUGCCAUUAAUUUGGUGUUGCGGGGAAACAGGACUGUUACUUUGAAAAAAUUAGAGUGUUUAAAGCAAGCUAACGCUUGAAUACAUUAGCAUGCAAUAAUCAAAUAGGACGAUCGAUCCUAUUUUGUUGGUUUCUAGGCUUGACGUA
rnacentral:rRNA from 1 species